rnacentral:rRNA from 1 species
UACGUAGGGUGCGAGCGUUGUCCGGAAUUACUGGGCGUAAAGAGCUCGUAGGCGGUUCGUCGCGUCGGCUGUGAAAACCUGAGGCUCAACCUCAGGCCUGCAGUCGAUACGGGCGGACUUGAGUACUGCAGGGGAGACUGGAAUUCCUGGUGUAGCGGUGAAAUGCGCAGAUAUCAGGAGGAACACCGGUGGCGAAGGCGGGUCUCUGGGCAGUAACUGACGCUGAGGAGCGAAAGCGUGGGGAGCGAACAGG